rnacentral:lncRNA from 10 species
GGAGGGGGAACCACACAUAUAAGAGGAGAGAGAGGAAAAAACUGCAGAUCAAUCAUUUAUAAUUAACAAAAAUCCGAUUGGUGCUUUAAAUAGAGAUCAAUGUGUUCCAGGCUGCCUGGAUUGUGGGGAUGUAUUCACCUUCUGGUAACUCUCCAAGCAAGCUGUCACACCUACAGAAUCACCAUUUGUUUUCUUAACAAAGCUUCAGGGGGCGCCAGGCUCUCAUUGAAAUUUCAUUAAUCUAAUGGAGUAAAGUCCUAUAGAAAAAAAUCAAAUUCUCGUUGGACGAGAUGCUACCUGGGAAAGAUAACCUCUGUUUGAACUCUCAGACUCGGAUCUCUCUGCUAUUAGUCUGAGGAAACAGACAGCAACAACGCUGAUUACAGCCACCGGCCUCAACAAUUUUUUUUUCUAACUAGCAAUUUCGAGUGCAAGUGCCACAGUGUCAGCUAAAGAAACACAACUGCGGGUUUUCUGCAGAGCAAAAUGGUUCUGAAAUGUCACUGAAUAGCUCACAAAGGACGCCAAUCUACGACAACAGAGACAUAAGCAUAUAGGAGAAAGGGUCCACACAUCCUCCUUUCAAAGGUCACAGAAAGCUUGCUGCAGAUCAGGAAAUGUCUUCAGUUUCCAAAGCCUCUCAUAGCAUGUGGAGAAAAGAGAGAGAAAGGGAGAGAAGAGUCAUGGACCCUACUUUAUGGUUGCCAUGGAUGCAAGCCUCAUCUCCAUUCCUUUCUACUUUGAACAUAGCAAGUCCUGGAGGCUGCUGGGUCGUCUUCCAGCCACAAGGUGGCUCCCCCAAUCCCUUCUCUCAAGCCAAUCGAUGUACACCUUUGCUGAGUUCUCCAGGCGGACUACAAUUCAGAGCUAAUUAUGAUCUAUAAAUGCCAUUAUUUUCAUUGUGAAGUAAAUGGCUUAUGACCAAGACCCUGGUACACUAAGAUACAAUGCAAAAUUAGUCUUUAAAAAUAGGAGAAAGAAAAAUACCUUUGUAUUUGCCUAAUUUCUCUUCACCCAUCCUUCCAAAAGUACAACUGAGCUAUCCUUAGAGUAAAAUAAGAAAAAUAAUAAAAGGCUCCAGAGGAACCUAAUUUUGUUGUCAAUGAACAUAGUCAUAGACUAGACAAGGUCAAAUUUUAAGAAAAGUAUACAACUUAUUCUCACUUAAACUAGACCUACUUUUGGAUUUGAUAUUUUACCACAAGAGAGUUUUGAUGAGAAGACUUUGCAAAACUUUCUUAGAAGUCCCACAUCAUGCCAUCAUUGAAGAACAGUGAUCUCCAAUACUGCAAGGCUUUAAAAGGAGUGGAAAUAUUACAUAUUUCCUUUUUGUUGCUUAGCAAACAUGUUGCAUAUUUCAUAAAUGUGAUUUUUAUAGAAGACAUCAUAAUUUUCUACAGCUGAAAUAGGCAUAGAAAGACAAAUCAUUCAUCCAAUUACAUGGAAGGUCUUUCUAAAAGUCUGAGUCCUAAUUUCUCACAGUUUUUCAUUUUCUGUUCUGGAGAGAAGCUAUUUAACCUUUGGGCAAGUUUCGUUUUCCUUAUCUGUAAAAUGGAGAUAAAAAUAGGAACUAUGCCUCAUGGGAUUUUUGCCAGGAUUAAAUGAGUUAAUAUACAUAAAGCACUUACAAAAGUCCUUGUUACAUAAUAAAAGCCAUAUAAAUGUUUGUUAUUAUUAUUAUUGUUUAUUUGAGCUCAGUUCCUCCUUGACAAGUACUUCAUGACACAAUCACUUGAGAAAAAUAAACUUUCAUAGAUUUCAUAAAGACCUGAAAAGUAUCAUUUUUUUUGAUACCUGAGAGCUCUGAUCGGGGUAACUGACGGUGUAUGGGCUUUUUCUUCCUCAAGAACUUUAAAAAAUUAGCAUUUUCAUCCCAAUUCAUGGUAUUACUUUCAAUAUGACACUAAAAAAAGAAACUGCUGAUUUCCAAAUCUCAAGCAGGUUUUAGAUAACACUUUAAAAAAUGCAUCAUUUUACUAAAGCAAAAAACAACCAUAAGUAGUGGUUCUAAUAACUUGGUUCCGAUAUUUGUAUUGUAAAUAUUUUCAUGUUACUUUUCCACUAUAUUAAAAAAAAAGUCUUUAGGAGCUUACUCAUGCCAGAAUAUAACUUUGUUAAGCCUCUUGUUAAACUUAGAACGUAUGAGUCCCCUGCUUCUAACAUAAAUAAAUGUUUUGAAUUCCCC